rnacentral:rRNA from 1 species
CCUACGGGAGGCAGCAGUGGGGAAUAUUGGGCAAUGGGCGCAAGCCUGACCCAGCAACGCCGCGUGAAGGAAGAAGGCUUUCGGGUUGUAAACUUCUUUUAAGAGGGAAGAGCAGAAGACGGUACCUCUUGAAUCAGCCAGGGCUAACUACGUGCCAGAAGCCGCGGUAAUACGUAGGUGGCAAGCGUUGUCCGGAUUUACUGGGGGUAAAGGGCGUGCAGCCGGGAAGACAAGUCAGAUGUGAAAUCCCGGGGCUCAACCGCGGAACUGCAUUUGAAACUGGUGUUCUUGAGUGCCAGAGAGGUCAGCGGAAUGCCUGGUGUAGCGGUGAAAUGCGUAGAUAUAAGGAAGAACACCAGUGGCGAAGGCGGAUGACUGGACGGCAACUGACGGUGAGGCGCGAAAGCGUGGGGAGCAAACAGGAUUAGAUACCCUUGUAGUC